rnacentral:rRNA from 1 species
AUUGAACGCUGGCGGCAGGCCUAACACAUGCAAGUCGAGCGGAUGAAGGGAGCUUGCUCCUGGAUUCCGCGGCGCACGGGUGAGUAAUGCCUAUGAAUCUGCCUGGUAGUGGUGGAUAACGUCCUGAAACGGGCGCUACUACCUCCUACGUCCUGAUGGAGCAAGUGGGGGAUCUUCGGACCUCACGCUCUCAUAUGAGCCUAGGUGGGAUUAGCUAGUUGGUGGGGUAAAGGCCUGCCAAGGCGGCGAUCCGUAACUGGUCUGAGAGGAUGAUCAGUCACACGGGAACGGAGACAGGGUCCAGACGCCUAAGGGAGGGAGCAGUGGGGAAUAUUGGGCAAUGGGAGAAAGCAUGAUACAGCCAGGCGGAGUGUGUGAAGAAGGUGUUCGGAUUGUAAAGAAGGUUAAGGGGGGAGGAAGGGCAGUAAGUUAAGACCUUGCUGUUUUGACGGUACCAACAGAAUAAGCACCGGCUAACUUCGUG